rnacentral:rRNA from 1 species
AUUCCUACGGGAGGCAGCAGUGGGGAAUAUUGGACAAUGGGCGCAAGCCUGAUCCAGCCAUGCCGCGUGAGUGAUGAAGGCCCUAGGGUUGUAAAGCCCUUUCAACGGUGAAGAUGAUGACGGUAGCCGUAGAAGAAGCCCCGGCUAACUUCGUGCCAGCAGCCGCGGUAAUACGAAGGGGGCGAGCGUUAUUCGGAAUUAUUGGGCGUAAAGGGCUCGCAGGCUGCUUGAACAGUUAGACGUGAAAUCCCCGGGCUCAACCUGGGAACUGCGUUUAAUACUAGCAAGCUAGAGAGAUAGAGAGGAAAGUGGAACUCCCAGUGUAGAGGUGAAAUUCGUAGAUAUUGGGAAGAACACCAGUGGCGAAAGCGACUUUCUGGCUAUUUUCUGACGCUGAGGAGCGAAAGCGUGGGGAGCAAACAGGAUUAGAUACCCUGGUAGUCCACGCCGUAAACGAUGUGUGCUAGAUGUUGGAAGGUUACCUUUCAGUGUCGCAGCUAACGCACUAAGCACACCGCCUGGGAAGUACGGUCGCAAGAUUAAAACUCAAAGGAAUUGACGGAAU